rnacentral:lncRNA from 1 species
UCACUAUCUUUUCUCUCUAAUGUUCCCAAAACUCCAACUAACUUAAGCAUCGGAGGGUCUCCCGUCAGAACACUCCUGACAAGUAUGAACUUCCUUUGUAAGUACUUUCUGAUGUUGUGGAUCUCGGACAGCGUCCAGCUGCAGCCAUAUUGGCACCUCCCAAGAGCUUUGCAGUAAUAGAUUGGCACUAGAGGAAGGGCCUUGUCCUUUUUGAGAGAAAAGAAGGCA